rnacentral:snoRNA from 1 species
AAAGGGGCUGAGACACAUCCCAACACAGCCCUUGUCCUGGUGUUCAGCAAUUUCCAGAGAAUCUACUGGUCAUGAUUCCUUAACACAGACAAUCAGUGACCCUGCUAAAGCCUGGGCCAGAAACAUGG